rnacentral:rRNA from 1 species
GAUGAACGCUGGCGGCGUGCCUAAUACAUGCAAGUCGAGCGAACAGACGAGGAGCUUGCUCCUCUGACGUUAGCGGCGGACGGGUGAGUAACACGUGGAUAACCUACCUAUAAGACUGGGAUAACUUCGGGAAACCGGCGCUAAUACCGGAUAAUAACUUGAACGGCAUGGUUCAAUAGUGAAAGACGGUUUUGCUGUCACUUAUAGAUGGAUCCGCGCCGCAUUAGCUAGUUGGUAAGGUAAGGGCUUACCAAGGCGACGAUGCGUAGCCGACCUGAGAGGGUGAUCGGCCACACUGGAACUGAGACACGGUCCAGACUCCUACGGGAGGCAGCAGUAGGGAAUCUUCCGCAAUGGGCGAAAGCCUGACGGAGCAACGCCGCGUGAGUGAUGAAGGUCUUCGGAUCGUAAAACUCUGUUAUUAGGGAAGAACAAAUGUGUAAGUAACUAUGCACGUCUUGACGGUACCUAAUCAGAAAGCCACGGCUAACUACGUG